CAGUCGCCGCGGUAAGACAGAGGAUGCAAGCGUUAUCCGGAAUGAUUGGGCGUAAAGCGUCUGUAGGUGGCUUUUCAAGUCCGCCGUCAAAUCCAGGGCUCAACCCUGGACAGGCGGUGGAAACUACCAAGCUGGAGUACGGUAGGGGCAGAGGGAAUUCCACGUGUAGCGGUGAAAUGCGUAGAGAUGUGGAGGAACACCAGUGGCGAAGGCGACUCUCUGGUCUGUAACUGACGCUGAGGAGCGAAAGCGUGGGGAGCGAACAGGAUUAGAGACCCGCGUAGUCCCUGUCUCUUAUACA
rnacentral:rRNA from 1 species